UCAGAAAUAACGUCCCAGUUCGGAUUGUAGUCUGCAACCCGACUACAUGAAGCUGGAAUCGCUAGUAAUCGCGAAUCAGAAUGUCGCGGUGAAUACGUUCCCGGGUCUUGUACACACCGCCCGUCACACCAUGGGAGUCGGAAAUGCCCGAAGUCAGUGACCCAACCGUAAGGAGGGAGCUGCCGAAGGUGGAGCCGGUAACUGGGGUGAAGUCGUAACAAGGUACC
rnacentral:rRNA from 1 species